rnacentral:rRNA from 1 species
AUGGGGUGCAGCAGGCGAGAAAACUUUGCAAUGUGCGAAAGCACGACAAGGUUAAUCCGAGUGUUUUCUGCUAAAGAAAUCUUUUGUUAGUUCUAAAUCCACUAUCGAAUAAGGGGUGGGCAAGUUCUGGUGUCAGCCGCCGCGGUAAAACCAGCACCUCAAGUAGUCAGGAUGAUUAUUGGGCCUAAAGCAUCCGUAGCCGGCUAUGUUAGUUUUCGGUUAAAUCCAUGUGCUCAACACAUGGGCUGUCGAAAAUACUGCAUAGCUAGGGAGUGGGAGAGGUAGACGGUACUCGGUAGGAAGGGGUAAAAUCCUUUGAUCUAUCGAUGACCACCAGUGGCGAAGGCGGUCUACCAGAACACGUCCGACGGUGAGGGAUGAAAGCUGGGGGAGCAAACCGGAUUAGAUACCCGGGUAGUCCCAGCUGUAAACUAUGCAAACUCAGUGAUGCAUUGGCUUGUGGCCAGUGCAGUGCCGCAGAGAAGUCGUUAAGUUUGCCGCCUGGGAAGUACGUACGCAAGUAUGAAACUUAAAGGAAUUGGCGGGGGAGCAC